UCUUUGGAAACAUAGACGGAGCAUAUACUCAAAAGGAAAUUGACAGCAUUGUUGGCAUGGAUUGGUCACUUCACAAAAUUUUACGUAAAGAUGUCAUUUUGUAUUUCACUGGCAUUUAUGGUUUUGUGGCUAGCUUAACUGGCUAUUGCACUGCAUGUGGUCAAAAUUGUAAGUUUGUAAGCUUUUGUACGGUUGAGAAGGCCCUCUCCAAAUAGGUGUGAGGUUGUGCUGAAUACAGGUCUAUCUAAGCCAUAGACAACUACGGGCUGUCGGUUGUGCCUAUAGAGAGAAGAACAGAUAAUAAGCGUAUUGCUGGACUUCUUGUACCAUAUGCGGCAGUAAGGAGGCACUGGUCACUAAUGAUAUUGGCACUUGGUAAGGGAUUGGCUUUCAUUUUGGAUUCCUUAAAUAAGGGUAAAAAGAAGACCCACUUGAGCUACAACCUCACAAAAAUUUUCAUUGAGAGUCGUGGAAAUGGGUUUGAUUGGACUGUCGUUGAUUGCAACCAACAAGAUGAUUCUUGGGAGUGCGGGUUCUACGUAAUGCGUUGGAUGUAUGAAUUUGUGAUUAGUCAACCACAUGACUUUUCGACAAAACUCCCUUGGACAAGUACGCGACCAUAUACUCAAACGGAUAUUGACAAGAUAGUUGGUGAAUGGAUUUAUCAUUUUGCAUACAUGUACGGUUAGCCAGCAUAUCUUUUGUUUACUAGUAUGUGUGGAUUAUCCAUAUUUUGAUGUAACACUCGGGACUAUAAUUAGGUACACUUGGCCUAUUAGUUUAUCUCUGUAUUACUAGCUGUGCAGACGAGAAAUGUUGAAGAUGCAAUUGAUAAAGUUAAUGACUUGAACCCUGAGAUUGGUUUUGCUCUGCAAGAUUAUUCCACUGUUGUCAUUGUUGAAAGAGAUUUUAGGCCAAACUUUUGCCAAAUAAUUUGAUAUCCAACUAUCAUGUUGGUGAAGCAGCACCCAUUUUUCAGGGAUAUUAUGUGGGAUACACUUGCAUGGCAAAAGGCUGCAUUUGUUCAAUAUUUCGAGAAUACACUAGACACGAGCUGUUUUACAAGCCUUACAUGGAACACCACAGCGCAUGGUUAUCAAUCAAGUGAAACAGAGGAUUCCAGUGACAAUGGUAGCAUGAGUGGUAGUAGUAGUAGUAAUAUGUGUAGAAAUAGUACAAUUAUUGAGUUGUAAAUUUUAGCUAUUUGAUCUUUGUGAUCAAGAUGUUUGAAUUAGCGAGUUUAAUGUUAAUUAAUAUAUUAACUUUCAACAUGUUCAA